rnacentral:rRNA from 1 species
GACGAACGCUGGCGGCGUGCUUAACACAUGCAAGUCGAACGGGAAGGCCCUGCUUUUUGGCGCUGCUCUAGUUUCGAACUGGUGACUAGCCCUUAGGUACCCUACCCUUGACUUUGAGAUGACUUCAUGCAACUUGGUCUAAUACCAGAUAGGAUCUCCUGCUGCUUGAUGGGGCUUGGAUAGUUUCGGCGGUUGGUGAUGGACUCGCGUCUUAUCGGCUUGUUGUAUGGGUAGUGGCUUAGCAAGGCUUUGCGGGGUAGCCGGGCUGAGCGGGUGACCGGCUACACUGGGAUUGAGAUGCGGCCCAGACUAGUACGGGAGGCAGGAGUGGAGAAUAUUGCACAAUGGGCGGAAGCAUGAUGUAGCCAAGCAGCGUGGGGGAUGACGGCAUUGGGGUUGUAUACUGAAGCCGCCUGUGACGAAGCGUGAGUGACGGUAAUGGGUAAAGAAGCACCGGCUAACUACGUG